CCGAUUUCGUGAGGGAUCUGCCGAGCGAAACAUGGUGGCUGCAUAUGUUGCGAGCCAGAUAGGGCAGACUGCGCGAGUCCGUGCAGACCACGGCAAGUCGCAUUGCGUUGCCGCGACGGGUAGUGCAUACCCGUCGGGCCCGCCGCCCGAAGGCGCCAGCGUGCGCAUGAAAAAAGGCCUUCAUCUGGCGAUGAAGGCCUUUUACU
rnacentral:ncRNA from 1 species